rnacentral:tRNA from 1 species
GUCUUCGUAGUGUAAUGAUCAUCACAAUCGGCGCGCAUUCGAGAGGUCCGAGGUUCGAGUCCCGGCGAGGCCA